AUGAAGCAACUGUUACUAACCAUAUUUGUUUAUUUGAGAAGGUGGAAGAAUCCAUGCUACUAUGUGGAAGAAUCAAAGAUCAAUGAGAAAUCUAUUUAUGCAUUCAACAAUUUUAAGGUCAUGGAAUCCACAAAAUAUAGGCCAAUGUGCAAUGAAAUUAAAAUAUAUUUUUCAUACAAUACAAAGGUAAAAGAAAUAAAAGGAUCUUCAGAAGUUUUCCCAGAUUAUUGCUUCAAGUUUGCUGACAUGGACACACUAGAAGAAAGGGCGGAAAAAGAUACACAAUGCUCAGGUAUGUUUAUAGUUGUAAUUACGACCUCCAAAUAA
rnacentral:rRNA from 1 species